CAAGUCGAGCGGCAGCGCGGGGCAACCUGGCGGCGAGCGGCGAACGGGUGAGUAAUGCAUCGGAACGUGUCCAUGUCGUGGGGGAUAGCCCGGCGAAAGCCGGAUUAAUACCGCAUACGCCCGAGAGGGGAAAGUGGGGGACCGCAAGGCCUCACGCGAUUGGAUCGGCCGAUGUCCGAUUAGCUAGUUGGCGGGGUAAAGGCCCACCAAGGCGAUGAUCGGUAGCUGGUCUGAGAGGAUGAUCAGCCACACUGGGACUGAGACACGGCCCAGACUCCUACGGGAGGCAGCAGUGGGGAAUUUUGGACAAUGGGGGCAACCCUGAUCCAGCCAUUCCGCGUGAGUGAAGAAGGCCUUCGGGUUGUAAAGCUCUUUUGUCCGGAACGAAACGGGUAGCGUGAAUAUCGCUGCCUACUGACGGUACCGGAAGAAUAAGCACCGGCUAACUACGUGCCAGCAGCCGCGGUAAUACGUAGGGUGCGAGCGUUAAUCGGAAUUACUGGGCGUAAAGCGUGCGCAGGCGGUUUUGUAAGCCGGAUGUGAAAUCCCCGGGCUUAACCUGGGAAUGGCAUUCGGGACUGCAAGGCUGGAGUGCGGCAGAGGAGACUGGAAUUCCUGGUGUAGCAGUGAAAUGCGUAGAUAUCAGGAGGAACACCGAUGGCGAAGGCAGGUCUCUGGGCUGACACUGACGCUCAUGCACGAAAGCGUGGGGAGCAAACAGGAUUAGAUACCCUGGUAGUCCACGCCCUAAACGAUGUCGACUGGUUGUUGGGGGUUUGACACUCUCAGUAACGAAGCUAACGCGUGAAGUCGACCGCCUGGGGAGUACGGCGCAAGGUUAAAACUCAAAGGAAUUGACGGGGACCCGCACAAGCGGUGGA
rnacentral:rRNA from 1 species